rnacentral:rRNA from 1 species
AUGCAAGUUGAGCGAAGCUUUUUGGUAGUUUACUACUAGAAAUGACUGAGCGGCGAACGGGUGAGUAACGCGUGAGCAAUCUACCUUAGUUACUGGGAUAGCCCGAGGAAACUCGGAUUAAUACCGGAUAUUCUUAUUUUUUCACAUGAAGUUUUAAGGAAAGGUCAGCCGAACUAAGAUGAGCUCGCGUUCUAUCAGCUAGUUGGUGGGGUAAAAGCCUACCAAGGCUACGACGGAUAGCUGGUCUGAGAGGACGAUCAGCCACACUGGGACUGAGACACGGCCCAGACUCCUACGGGAGGCUGCAGCAGGGAAUAUUGUGCAAUGAGCGAAAGCUUGACACAGCGACACCGCGUGUGGGAUGACGGUUCUAGGAUUGUAAACCACUUUCAGGAGGGAAGAAAAUGACGGUACCUCCACAAGAAGACCCGGCCAACUAUGUGCCUGCAGCCGCGGUAAUACAUAGGGGUCAAGCGUUGUCCGGAUUUAUU